AGAGUUUGAUCAUGGCUCAGAACGAACGCUGGCGGCGUGGAUUAGGCAUGCAAGUCGAACGUGAAAGUACUGAAGGGGUAACCCGGAUGUGCGAGUAAAGUGGCGAACGGGUGAGUAACGCGUGGGAAACCUGCUCCAGGGUGGGGGAUAACAGCUCUAACGGGCUGCUAAUACCGCAUGACGCCUCGGAUCUCAUGAUUCGUGGUUAAAGGAGGCCUCUAUUUAUAAGCUUCCGCCUGGGAAUGGUCCCGCGUUCUAUUAGCUUGUUGGUGGGGUAACGGCCUACCAAGGCGACGAUGGAUAGCCGGCCUGAGAGGGUGGUCGGCCACACUGGGACUGAGAUACGGCCCAGACUCCUACGGGAGGCAGCAGUCGAGAGGCUUCGGCAAUGGGGGAAACCCUGACCGAGCGACGCCGCGUGGGUGAUGAAGAUUCUCGGAUCGUAAAACCCUGUCAGGUGGGAUGAAAAAUCAUUCGGCUAAUACCCGAGUGACAUGACAGUACCACCAGAGGAAGCUCCGGCUAACUCCGUGCCAGCAGCCGCGGUAACACGGGGGGAGCAAGCGUUGUUCGGAUUCAUUGGGCGUAAAGAGCUCGUAGGCGGCUCUGUAAGUCGGGGGUGAAAGACCACAGCUCAACUGUGGGAACGCCUUCGAUACUGUGGAGCUUGAGGCCGGGAGAGGAAAGUGGAAUUCCUGGUGUAGCGGUGAAAUGCGUAGAUAUCAGGAGGAACACCAGUGGCGAAGGCGGCUUUCUGGACCGGUUCUGACGCUGAGGAGCGAAAGCUAGGGGAGCAAACAGGAUUAGAUACCCCAGUAGUCC
rnacentral:rRNA from 1 species